AUGGCCGUCGUCAGUUCGUACUGUGAAGCAUCCUGUUAAGUCAGGCAACGAGCGAGACCCAGCCCACAGUUGCCAGCGUACUCUCUGGAGUGACGGGUACACUGUGGGGACCGCCGCUGCUAAAGCGGAGGAAGGAAUGGGCAACGGUAGGUCAGUAUGCCCCGAAUAUCCCGGGCUACACGCGAGCUACAAUGGUUGGUACAAUGGGUAUCUACCCCGAAAGGGGACGGGAAUCUCCUAAAGCCAAUCGUAGUUCGGAUUGAGGGCUGCAACUCGCCCUCAUGAAGCUGGAAUCCGUAGUAAUCGCGUUUCAACAGAACGCGGUGAAUACGUCCCUGCUCCUU
rnacentral:rRNA from 1 species